rnacentral:rRNA from 1 species
UACAGAGGGGGCAAGCGUUGUUCGGAAUUACUGGGCGUAAAGGGCGCGUAGGCGGCCUGCUAAGUCGAACGUGAAAUCCCUGGGCUCAACCCAGGAACUGCGUCCGAUACUGCCGUGCUUGAGGACUGGAGAGGAGACUGGAAUUUACGGUGUAGCGGUGAAAUGCGUAGAUAUCGUAAGGAAGACCAGUGGCGAAGGCGGGUCUCUGGGCAGUUCCUGACGCUGAGGCACGAAGGUCAGGGGAGCAAACGGG